rnacentral:sRNA from 1 species
UAUUAGCCCCGAUUGCAGCAUUUGUUUGAGCUCAUUUUGUGGGUUUCGGGCGGCGGCUUUGCCGCCGCCCGAAACCCACAAAAUAGCGAGUGCGGAAAGCGGGAUUAAGC